UGCUGCUUUAAAAUGAACACAUAUAUUUAUCAUCAGGGAAAGAGACAGUCUGGGCAGCAGCAACAAGACAACUAUUACAAGUAGAGAUGGGUUUCAAGAACUGGUACUAAUUUGGUUCCUGACUUGUUCGACACAACCACAUAUCAUCCAAAUCAUCUCCCAAGUGGAUGGCAUCAAAGAUCCAGGAUCAAGAGAUCAUUCUUCAUGAAGACUGUUCCACAGGAAGCAGUUUAUCCUGGGUCAUCCUGACCAUUCUGCUGUCCUGGAUGUAAGGCCAUGCUUGAACUGCAUUUCUCGUGGUUGAAAGAUUUGUGCAGCGGUAUCCAGACAUAUAACGCCCCAU